CUGUACAGUUCAGAGUUUGAUCCUGGCUCAGGACGAACGCUGGCGGCAUGCUUAACACAUGCAAGUCGAACGAGAAUCAAUGGAUCAAGGAUUCGUCCAAGUGAAGUUGAGGACAGUGGCGGACGGGUGAGUAACGCGUGAGGAACCUGCCUUUCAGAGGGGGACAACAGUUGGAAACGACUGCUAAUACCGCAUAACGCGUAGAGAUCGCAUGGUCUUUACGCCAAAGAUUUAUCGCUGAAAGAUGGCCUCGCGUCUGAUUAGCUAGUUGGUGAGGUAACGGCCCACCAAGGCGACGAUCAGUAGCCGGACUGAGAGGUUGAACGGCCACAUUGGGACUGAGAUACGGCCCAG
rnacentral:rRNA from 1 species